GUUGCACCCACCAUACAAAUACAAUUCCAAAAUGCAAAGCAAACAAUAGAAGUUCAAAAACAGAAAAUCCUUCACCUGGAGGAUAAGGUUAACUCUCUGACAGAGGAGAGAAAUUAUCUUCGUGCAAGACUUGAAGAUGCUUUAAUUCAGAAGGGUCCCUCAGAAGGGGUACCUACACAGACUGCAACUACAAGAAAGAGCAGUACUUCUGAAUCUUCAAAUUUUUCAACUUCCGAGUCCUCUGAUUCUGAGCCCCCAAAACACAAAAAAAGAAAGGUUAAGGAGAAACACAGAGCGAAAAGACAUAAGAAAUCAAAGAAAUUGACUUCUGACUAUUCCAAAAGAGUGCAUACCCCAGAAGAAUCGCUGAAGAGGUACUACAAGGUAUUAAACCUUGUAAAACAGGGCCUGAGUAAGGCAGAGGCCUACAACAGACUAAACGUUGACAGGAACACAAUAGUCAUCCAGGCUCCAAUUGCAGAGUUAGCAGCAGCUAAUCCAGAAUCAUUCCGCAAGCUAAGGCAGAUGUUUAA